rnacentral:pre_miRNA from 1 species
UCAAAUUUUUGUAUGGAGUUGGAACGUUUGCCUGCGUUUGUCGCUAGAUGGCGCUGUUCCAACUCCAUACAAAGAGUUU